UGGGGAAUAUUGGACAAUGGGCGAAAGCCUGAUCCAGCCAUGCCGCGUGUGUGAAGAAGGUCUUCGGAUUGUAAAGCACUUUAAGUUGGGAGGAAGGGCAGUAAGCGAAUACCUUGCUGUUUUGACGUUACCGACAGAAUAAGCACCGGCUAACUCUGUGCCAGCAGCCGCGGUAAUACAGAGGGUGCAAGCGUUAAUCGCAAUUACUGGGCGUAAAGCGCGCGUAGGUGGUUCGUUAAGUUGAAUGUGAAAGCCCCGGGCUCAACCUGGGAACUGCAUCCAAAACUGGCGAGCUAGAGUAGGGCAGAGGGUGGUGGAAUUUCCUGUGUAGCGGUGAAAUGCGUAGAUAUAGGAAGGAACACCAGUGGCGAAGGCGACCACCUGGGCUCAUACUGACACUGAGGUGCGAAAGCGUGGGGAGCAAACAGG
rnacentral:rRNA from 1 species